GAGGGGGGUGGGGAGGAGGGUACUGAGCCAAGUUAAGUGAUACAGAUGGUGUACCAGUGUACCCGUCUGUACUCACUGUAAAGGGCGGGAGCCGAAACAGCCCUUUAACAAGGAAUACAGCAGACCCCCAUGAUACAUGUGAGUCCGUGGGGGUCUGUAGCAUAUCCGGAAUAUCUUGGAGUUCGGCUGACUCUCUGGUAUGAUUCCGACGGUGUACAAUUGUACUCGUCGGUAAACUCACGAUUAGACGCAUACACGCUGUCAGCUCCCUGCAGCAGGACCUCUAGAAUAGUGAUCUUCUCCUGAUUUCACGCGGAAGUGAGGCCCCACGGGUAGAACAGGAGCCAGGACCACCAUGGAAGGCAGGUAAGAAACCAAGAUGCGGUCCGACCGGAAGUGACUUGCCAGACUGUCCACGGUAAGGUGGGAGAGGAUUGUCAGCCCUUUUAAGGGAAUUCAAGCCCCUCCCACAACUACAG